UACGAAGGGGGCUAGCGUUGCUCGGAAUCACUGGGCGUAAAGCGCGCGUAGGCGGUCUUUUAAGUCAGGGGUGAAAUCCUGGAGCUCAACUCCAGAACUGCCUUUGAUACUGGGAGACUUGAGUCCGGGAGAGGUGAGUGGAACUGCGAGUGUAGAGGUGAAAUUCGUAGAUAUUCGCAAGAACACCAGUGGCGAAGGCGGCUCACUGGCCCGGUACUGACGCUGAGGUGCGAAAGCGUGGGGAGCAAACAGG
rnacentral:rRNA from 1 species